rnacentral:rRNA from 1 species
AACGUAGGACGCAAGCGUUAUCCGGAGUUACUGGGCGUAAAGGGCGCGUAGGCGGCCUGUUAAGUCGAACGUGAAAUCCCCGGGCUCAACCCAGGAACUGCGUCCGAUACUGGCUGGCUUGAAUCCGGGAGAGGGAUGCGGAAUUCCAGGUGUAGCGGUGAAAUGCGUAGAUAUCUGGAGGAACACCGGUGGCGAAGGCGGCAUCCUGGACCGGUAUUGACGCUGAUGCGCGAAAGCCAGGGGAGCGAACGGG